UCUUGGUGGUGGCAGCAGCAGCCUUAGUGUCUCAUACCCGUCUCUGCGGUCGGCACUGAUAGCCGCGGCUCACGCCCAUCUCUGGAGCUCAUUUAGGCGGUGAUAUGAAUCCUCUCUCCUCGUGCACCAGGAAACAAAGAGGCAAGAAAAAGUCUCUUUCCUGUUCGGCAGCUCCAAACCUUUUCCUGGACUCCCUCCCAGCUUGCUGUGGUGCACUAAACCCUUCAGUCUGUGUUCACGCAGCCAACCCCAGUCCUCUCCCUGGGAUCUGACCUCGGAAGCCAGAGCCUCAGCUCCUAGCUCUCGCCCGCCCCAGCGGGUGAGCAGACAAGCCUCUCGGACUGCAUCUCCCAGGCUCUCCAUGCCCAGGCCGAGGAUUGUUCCCAACCACUGGCUGCAUUUUGCCUCAGCAAGUCUUGCACAUGACUUACCUUUCCAAGAAAGAAGCACUUCCCCACAGUCUACUCUGGGCUGCAGGUUCCUAGUCCAGAGUGUUCCUUAAAUAUUAGACUUCUGACCCAUAAUUGUGGCUAGAAGUGGUUCACAUCAAAAUCGGACAGGCUCCUGGACCAUCAAACUGAAAAGCAGGACCCUACUUGAGAUGCACAUUACUAACAGUGAAGAAAAAAAGUGUAUUUAUAGUGUAUUUAUUUAUUUAUAUUUGUAAAAUAUGACUGAGAAUGCAAAAAAAAUCACAUUAAUAAAAAUAGAAAAAAGUCUUGAA